GACGAACGCUGGCGGCGUGCUUAACACAUGCAAGUCGAACGGGUCUGCCCUGUUUUUUGCGGGGUGGGUCAGUGGCGAACGGGUGAGUAACACGUGAGUAACCUGCCCCUCACUUCUGGAUAACCGCUUGAAAGGGUGGCUAAUACGGGGUGUUCUGGCUGUGCCGCAUGGUGUGGCUGGGAAAGAUUCACUUUUGUGGUGUUUUGGUGGGGGAUGGGCUCGCGGCCUAUCAGCUUGUUGGUGGGGUGAUGGCCUGCCAAGGCUUUGACGGGUAGCCGGCCUGAGAGGGUGGGCGGUCACACUGGGACUGAGAUACGGCCCAGACUCCGGCGGGAGGCAGCAGUGGGGGGUAGUGCACAAUGGGCGGAAGCCUGAUGCAGCGACGUCGCGUGAGGGAUGGAGGCCUUCGGGUUGUGAACCUCUUUCGCCGGUGAAGAAGGUCCUGCUCUUUGUGGGGGGGUUGACGGUAGCCGGGUUAUGAAGCGCCGGCUAACUACGUG
rnacentral:rRNA from 1 species